GCAAGUCGAGGGGUGACGGGGAAGCUUGCUUUUGCCGACGACCGGAGCACGGGUGCGGAACGCGUAUGGAACCUACCUUUGUCAGGGGAAUAGCCCAGAGAAAUUUGGAUUAAUGCCCCAUGGUACCGUAAGGACACAUGUCUUUACGGUUAAAGAUUCAUCGGACAAAGAUGGCCAUGCGUAUCAUUAGUUAGUUGGUAAGGUAACGGCUUACCAAGACCGCGAUGAUUAGGGGCCCUGAGAGGGGGAUC
rnacentral:rRNA from 1 species